AUUCUCCCCGCGGGGCUCUGACCGCUGCCGCUCUCAGGCACCUGUCUUUCCUCUCCGUCCCAGAAUGGAGCCAAGACAAGGGAAUAAACGAAAUUCAAUAGUACACGGAGAUCGGGUGUCUGGGCAGCGUCUUGGAAAAACUAUCCACUACAGGAGAUAGAAAAGAUGCAUGAAGACACAGAAAAGAAACUAAAGGAAACAGCUGGAAGGACUAGCAAAAAAGAGUUUUAAGAGUUGUGGAAGUUUAAACAAGAAUUUUAACAGACUACAGUUCAACUGUCAAUUGGUUGAUCACCCGGAUUUUAUCUACACCUUAGCCUAUGGUUGUUCAUCUCGUCUCUGCCUAUGGCCCAUUGACUCCCGGAUCCCAGCUCCAUUCUUCGGUACUUUACGCACCCUGCUUCCAGUACCCCAACCAGAAGAAUAUAUAUAGCAGUUAACUGUCAGCUGGCGAAAAGGAGGAAAAUUCAGGAAGAUAAAAUAGCUGAAUGAAUUAUCCCCGCUCCAGAACGCAGAGGAAAAAUGAAAUGGCCAGACCCAGAUGUUAAAAAUGUGUUCCUUGCUCUUUCCUGCCCUAGCAAGGGCUGUUCCAUGUUUAGGGGAUGAAUGCCGCUGAGAGUAUUAGCAAAAAUACAUGUGUCAUUGAGUCUGAGGAAGAUAACUGAGACAUACAGGUAUUUCUCAUAAUGCAUGUGGGCAUCCAUAGACAUAUUCUUAAAUGGCUUAAGGACUUGGAAACUACCUCUAGGAAACCUGAAACUUGAAUGUUGGUCCACUAGGGAGAAGAAAUGUUCCAUUAGCCUUCCAACUAAAGAAAUACACUAUCAAGAAGAACAUUAGCUGUGUGUCCUAUAAGCUUGGGAGAAUAACUUACUUUUAUUUUAAUACAUAUGUUACUUUUAUGGUCAGUAUUUUGGUAAAAUAUAUGCUCUAUUAUGGCA
ensembl:lncRNA HIF1A-AS3 HIF1A antisense RNA 3